rnacentral:rRNA from 1 species
GGAAGUAAAAGUCGUAACAAGGUAGCUGUAGGUGAACCUGCUGCUGGAUCAUUAC